AGGCCAGUAGUUCAAUGGCAGAGCAGCAGUCUCCAAAACUGCCUAUGGGGGUUCGAAUCCCUCCUGGCCUGCCA
rnacentral:tRNA from 1 species